CGGAGAUUUGUGUGUGUCCAUCUUUUCCAUCAUUGGCUGUCAAGGAAAUGUCUCCCAUAGGGGGCCUUCAGAAGGAUUACAGUUGCUAUUGAUGGUCACUAUCAGUUGAGUGAAAAGAAGAGGGAAUUUGAUCACUGAAUUUUCUGGCAUGUCAAUGUGGAUCCAAGCCGAUGCUGUAAACGAGGCUGAAAACCAUACUAACUGCCUUUAGGACAGAAACGCAACAAGCUGCAGCAGCAACAAAGGAAGCUUAUCCUUGGGUCCCAGGAAGCACACAUGUUGGCGUGAGACAGAAGCCAGGACAACUGGAAAGGAGACUGCCUCCCUCUCAAUCAACACCACCUGCUGGAGCUCUAGGUAUCUAGUGAUGUCCAGGGAGGAGGGAUCUCACAACUACGGAAAGGCAAGGGAUGUGGAAAAUACCUUCACGUGGAUUCAGAUACUACUGAUGUUUGAGGACAGUUUAUCUUUUGUUUUUGUUUUUCUUCAUUUGUCUGUAUUCAAGACCAGUGAUUUUCAACCAUUGUGCCACAAGAAUUUUCAAGACAUACAAUACCUGAUUAGUCAGGAGCACUGACCUCUUUUCCCAGAUGUCAAAUAAAAGACAACAGCCAAACAUAACACUGUGCGCUGUGAAUAUGAAACAAAAUUAUACCCAUUUUUUGUCAUAUUAGCAAAAAUACUUUUUUGGUAUGCCACAGAAUUUUAAUUAUUGGUUUAUGUGUGCUCUGAGUUCAUAAAGGUUGAAAAUCGCUGUCCUAGAUCAAAGGGUUUAAGUCCAGGACACAGGAAAUGUUUAAGAAGUUGAGGCAGUCUUACUCAUUUUUAAAUGUGUGAAUACGAGUCAUGAAAUGCUUUACAGUUUCUUACAGUGGAAUACCUGGGUAACAGUCUAGGCCCAUCUGAGUCCCAACUCCAUACUCAAACACUACGAAGUCAGCUGUUGCUGAAAGUGUCUACCAAUGCUUCUUACUGUGACAGGACAUUUUUAGGGGAUACACUUUAUCUACUGUUUAUAUCACAGGGUGAGGGACUUGUGUUGCUCAGUGAGACCAUGGAAGCCAAGCAGCACAAGAACAGGAUCUGAAAUCAGCUUCCAAGGACAUUCAUUCUGGAAGUCAAUGUUGACGAGCGUAUUCAUCAGGUUCUGCAGUCAGUCUGUGUAGGGACAUCUGUGUGUAGGCUUCAGCUAAUUGUAGAUGAAGAUCUUAAGCAACUUCUUUCUCAGACAAAAGGGAGGUAGUUGUGCCCCGUGGCCUCAGUGUCCUGGUGACAGGGACGCAGUCCACAGGAGCCAUUUUCUUGUACAUGAUCACUUCUGCAGCGAUAGCAAGAAUAAGGUGGAAAACUGUUCCCGUGGGAGUGAUUUCUUGUCUGUUAGGAGACAUAUCAGGAAAAGUAGUUUGUGCUCAGUUCUUUCAAUGAUAACAUUUGGUUUACAUUACCUUAGGAUUUGGAUUCCUUAUAUCAGCGAUGUUAGAACUUAGCUCAGACUUAGUUCUCCCAAGGGUAGCAGCCACAGACCUGGCUUCGUCUAUUGAUCUGCCUCAAUUGUAUUUGACCAUUCUCAUUGCUCUUUCCUUUUGGUUUUUUUUAAAUAUGCUUUGGAAUGUUUUGUUGACUGUUCAAUGUAACCCAGGCUCUUGAAUUGGAUUAAAAUUAAGUUGUUUGAACAUAGGAAGGUAUUUCUUGAGGUUACAUCUGCCUGUGGUGCCUUCGGUUAGUUCAGUUUUCAAUUUGUUGGACCAUUUGAAUGGGGAAGUAGCAUUCUAAGGUAUUAUAUUUCGUUGUAAGACCCCAAAGAGCUGGCAGAUUGCUGAGAGUUUUGUCACCUUAAUUGUGUCAGUUGAAGGAUAUUGCUGCCAAAGAUGAUCCACCUGUCACUCCUUCUGAAGCCAGGAAUUUUCCAUUAAUAGAAAUGUACAGUCUGCAGACAUGAACAUUUGAGCAAGGUGCACUUGUUGGGCAGAUCUUGGCUUGACUUAUGAUGAGCUGUGUUUCCUGAGCACCAUGACAUGAUGGUCAACUGAAUACUCUGAAGUCCAGCCAAAGUGUCAGUCCAUGGACAUGGGCCGCACAUUUUCUGAACAAACGCUGUAGGCUGUACAUUUCACAAGGUCUCCCCAUCAAUAUUGAGCUGUAGGUUUUCCCAGUGAAGUUGAGGAAGGUUAGGUUCCUGAUCCAUGACAUUAUUCCUUUCUGUACAUAGUAUUUUCUGUAUUUGCAGUGCCUGGUACAUCUCACUUUUGUGCAUUUCAAGUGAUAACUUCAAGAGAAUGAGGACUUGGGAGCUACAGUGGUUUGUUUGAUUCAUGAAAGCAUAGCUCUAUUCCAGCGUUGUACCAGUUUGAGACCCUGAGCCCAGCCUCUGAGGCAGCUCCAGUCAUCAUAGGAACAAGAAACUGCCAGUUUACUCUGGCCUGAGAUGAGACUUCAUAUUCAGAGAGAGGGCUCUAUCUCAUUCUUUUCUUACUAAGUUACCACUUUCUGUAUCUUGGCAAGGCAUGGAUGGAGAUUUAGAAUUUUUCAAUCUGAUUCAAGAGGAUGAAAUUGACAUUUGGCAGUUGGUGGAUCUGAGCCCUGUAGAGAGAAAGUUUUGCCAAAUACUGUGCAGUUUUUGAAAGGGGUCUUUACUCACAUCAUUCUUUAAUCUCAGUCUGUAUUGUAUGAGUAGCACAUCUUUUAUUACCUGAGGUGGACAUUCUAUGGUUAGGCGCUUGUGCUUUGCUUUCGGUAGCUCUUGUGAGGAGGUUGAAUAGUAAUUAAACAGGUAUUUAGAAAAAAACCUGUAUAAAAAAGUUACCAUGGACAGUUGAAUGUACUAAGACCUUAUCCUUAAAUAGUCACCUUAAUUUGUUGUGUGUGUGUGUGUGUGUAAAUAUAGUAUGGGUGUUAUGUUGAGUGAACAGCUUAUAGUGAAAAGCUGUUGGGGUUCCAAUGAAUUACAUUCUUUGUAAAGUUAAGUUAGACAAGUAUUUUCACAGUUCUUGACCUUAUUUAGUCCCUGUUUUCCUGCCAGAAAUUUUUGUAUAUUUACUACCUCAGAGACUUGUUUGGUUUCUCUUAGUGUUGCUGAUCCUGACCAGUAGGAAUAUGCUGAUUGAAUUGACAGGAGGAAGCUGCCCUUGUAAUUGAAAGGCAUGAGGAGUAGCCAGCUGAGGGAGAGAUGAAAGGAGUGAGCUUGAUGGAUGUGACCUUGGACUUGGGUGUAGGCACUAGGGUCCUCCCACUGCUGGGAGAAGGAACACUGGUGCUAGUGAGCCCCAUCCAAAUACAGGGGUCCCAGAGAAAAUGCCUGCACAGGGGCUUGUUGCUUGGAUGGGGGAGGUUUGACUUGACUAUCAAAAAUCAGAGCUCUUAAACCUGAUGACAGCUUUCCUUCCUGCAGAGGGAACUGAGGUCCAUCACAGCUAAUUUAUGAUUGGAGCAGUUUCUGAAAGAGGACUGGUAAAAGGGAAAGACUUAGAUGAUAGAUGAAUGGAAGAGAAGGAAAAAUAGGUUUAAGGUGAUCAUGUCCCUGUGUUGUUGUCCAAGUGUGAAAGGGAGACUUGUAAAUGGAGCAGCAUCAGAAUCAUUUCAUUUGUGAGCCCUGUGUGAAUAUCAGAACAGUGGGAAGUUAAGGAGUUAGAAACAUCAAUCUACCUCCCAGCUUAGAGGUGUUAGGUCUGGGCCCUUGCUGAGGUCAUGUACUAGGCAGUGUCAUGUCAUCUGUGGAGAUGGCUGAGAUUGCCAAGAAGGGAGGGGGGUGAGCGUUCUUGCUGUGCUUAUUUAUUACUAGAAUGGGCCACGUGGUUUACAUUUGUAGGCAGCUAAGAGGAAACCAAACUUUUCUCCAACUUGAGUGCACAUGAGAAUCAGCCCAUGGGUUUGUACAGUUGCUCAGAUACGGAUACUGUAGUUCUGGGUCUGAGAUGUUGACAGAUGAUUGGGAUUAGGUAUCACACACAGAACAAAUGGGUUUUAGUUGGAACAAAGUUGUCAUUCUCUAAAAGUGCUAUUAUAUGAUUAAUUUAUAUGAAUAUGGAUAACAAUGAAAUAUGACAAAUAAUUAAAUGAACAUGAGUAGGGAAUUUGGAGAGAAAACUGGUUGUCUUAAGUGAAUGCAAAACACUACAUUAUUUUUCCCUUGUAAAUCCAACGAAAUAAGAAUCAAAUGUGUGGGUUUUCAGACACUUGGAAAAUCGAUUUGAGAAUAUGAAUCCAUAUAUCUUCUCAGAACAAAUUGUAAAUUUACAUUUAAAUCAUGAACCUUAUUUGAGGAAGAAAGUUUUCUUUUUUAUAAUUUUUCUAAUCAACUACUACCCAAAUUUUUAUUUAGUUCAAUUUGGAUAAAAAUGACUAAUAAAUAGAAAAGCCCAGAAAACAGACUUUUUAUAAAACACUUUAAAAUACAGAUGUGAUCUCAAUAGUGCGUUGAUUUCCUAGACAAGGUUUUUUUCCCUGUUAUUUAAAAGUUGUGGGGGGAUUUUUUCCCAGGUUGUGUUCUGUGUUGGUCACUGAACUCUGCAUAACAUUAAUUACUCUGCAUUUAGGCACAUUUUGCAGUACUUGAAGCAUACACUUCUGGACCAUUUAAAAUGGUCCAUAAACUGCAAUACCAAUGAAUUUCUGGGUGAUGCUAUUUUCUGGGGGAAAUUUCAAUAUAUGUGUUAUAAUAGCUUGGCUGUAAAUACCCUGGCGGCAAUAUUUGGUAUUGGAAUGGAGAACUUCUUUGUAAAUAUACUUCUUUAUGAGAAUAGUUUUACAAUGAACUGUCCACUGUUACUGGCGUACUUUGAAAUUUAGCCACUUUUAGUUAAAGUACUGAGAAAUACAGAUGUAGGUCACGUCAGAGGUACCCUACAGCAACUGAAGAAGGAACCCAGACUGGAAACAGAGACUUCUUUUCUGUGGCUUGGUCUAAAUAAAAAAAUGAGAAAUCACUGAGUUUUUAAAAAAUUGUUACUUAUGAAGGGACUCCCAACUUGAAACAAGGAGACUUCUGUGUUUGGCCUGAAUAAAAUGAGAAAUCAUGGAGGAUAAAAAUUAUGACUUCUGAAGGAACUCCCAACUUAUAACAAGGAGACUUCUAUUUUAUGGCUUGGACCUAAAAUGGGAAAUCAUGGAGGCUUUUUAAAAUUUGUGACUUGGAAAGGGACCUACAUUUGAAACAAAGAGACUUCUUCUCUGUGGCUUGGCCUGAGUACAAGGAGAAAUCACACAGGACUUAAAAAACUGAUUUAUGAUUUCUCUAAAAAUUACUGCAAUGAUACUGGUUUUUGUAUUUUUAUAGGAUGGCAGAAAAAUUGGGUCAUUAUAUUUUUCUAAUUAUCUUUUGCACACUGUAACUCUGGUGAGCAAGACUGAAUGCCAAGGCUUUGAGUUUCAGAUAGACUGGGUGUCAUACCUACUGAGUGAAUUAUGAAUUCUAAGAUUGUCAAAGUAAUAAUAGAAAUAUCCCAUCACUCAAAAAUUACAAAACACGAUGAUGAAACUGAAGAAUAAUUUUGUUUGUCUUACAAUAUAACAUGACAAUCUGGAAAAAUACUUACAAAAAGGCAUAGACGGACUUUUCUGAUUCUUUUAUGGGGGAGAAUCCAUUCCUAAUUGAACAAAGGGUACAAGAAAUGAGACCCUACAGUUUAGGCAAAAUUUAGUUUCCAGUUUAAACCUCCUAUAUUUUUCUCAUUCUCUAAAGGUUUAGUCAAGACAAAAGGGCAUUUCAUUGUACUGUGAUGAUGGGCACAGAGAAUAGGACAAUACUAUCUUAAAUUCAAAUUGCCUACCCCAUCAGAUAGUGAUACUUCCACGAGAGCACCAAAUUUUAAUUUGGGGCUUUGGUGGAAAAAGAAAGUGUUCCUUAAAGUUGUCUACCCUUACUGUAUGCACCCACCUGUCAGUCUAGCUCACUGAGGGAUAAAAUGUACAUGUUAAAAAAACAAGCAUGUGUUCAUUUGAACAAAUCUUUUGUGCAAAUCUCUUAGAGAUCAAGAGUUCAUUGCUAUUGAAAGUAUACAACAGUUUACUUGUUAGUGGAUAGCAGUUUUUGGCCACAUGAAUAUAUUUAGGUUGGCUUUUGUAAUGGACAUAGACAUCUACAACUUGAUGGAAAGGAAAAGACUUGGAACAUUUUUAAAAAUGACAACAUGUCUGGAUAACAAUAUGCUGGUAGUUGAACAUGUGAAAUAUUUAAAAAUCAUUGUAUGAAAUACACGACUGAAUUUUAUAGAAAUGUAAAAAGGUGAUGCCAACUAGGGGCUGAGGAAGUAGCCAUCAUUAAUGGACAUGGAUGGAGCCUGAGAAAGAUGGACAAGAGUUUCUUGCCAAAGGUUAAAACAUUUGUUGCCUGGUGGAUACUGCUCAGACGCCCAUCAGAUGGCUGCUCUGGAGACACCUUUCUAGUCUUUUAAGCAUACUGAAACUUCCAGCUGCCGCCUUAACUUCUGUCUUCAGAUUUUUUUAUUUGUGUCUGCCAGAGAAGUUUUUGGGACAGAUGGUGAACCACAUCUUGUUUUAACAGUGUUAGAAAUAAGCAAUAAUCGAAGAAGAGAAAGAUUAUAUAAACCGGUGGUAUUUAGAGUCUCCUUUGCCUAAGUUAAAACUGGAAAAUUUCCAAUUGGAGUCUCUGAAGAUUUGGAUUCUUAAAAAAUCUGUGAUGUUCCUUUGCUCUUAACCUCUGGUUCCAUAAGAAUCUCCAGAAAUAUGUACAGCAAGAAACAAUGUGAUUGCAGCCCAGGAUAAUGUACAGUCUUUCUGAAAACCUCUCUUCCAUUAACAUUAGAUGAGCAGGAGACAACAGCCUGAGGGACUGCCCUGCAUUGAUAGAAGGUAGUUUCAAGUUCUGGAGAAUUCUGAACAAUUGUGGUUAUGGACUGCUCUGGGUAUCUGAUCCUCAUGCUGGUUUAAGGGAUCUUGGGCCAGAUCAAGAACAGUGUGAUUCAUGUCUGGUCCACAGCCUCAGGACAGCAGCACGUUAGAAUUGAUCUGAUCUAUAAGCUUUUCCAGCUACAAAAAAAGGCAAUUGCACCGUUUUGACCUUCGUCUUGUCUUUCAAAUAUUUGCCUUUCAUUGAAAAUCUAUGGAAUUGGAUAAAAAGGAUAUUGUUUUGUUACACAGAACCAACUUACCUUCAGAAUGGUUACCCUUGAAUUCUGUGUACAGCAGACACUUGUGUACAUGUGUUAGACACAGAAGUUCGUGGUUUUUUCUUCCCACUAACAUUUUUAAAACAGCUCUGAAUCUAAUCCCUCAAACUGAUUUAUUGGACACAUCAAGCUUCAAAAUUUAUGAAAACUGGGGAAUGGUAUUAAAAUGUAAAUAUAAAAUGCUCAGUGACUGAUGAAUGUGUAUGAACUGUUAGUUGAUGUUAAGAGAUGAAGAGAAUGAACUUCAACAUGUAAUGGUUUCAUUUUAUUCUUUAUUUUUGUUUACUUAAACUUCCUUGGAAUAUUAUACUCAAGCACAGAGGCCUCCAUUUAUAAACAAAUUCAUUAUUUUUAGAUACUUUUGUAACGAUUGCUGUGAUAUUACAGCUGGUUUCCUAAGGAAGUUUCUAAUAACAUUUGGUAAAAUUGUCUUCUGGAGAAUAUUUUAGAAAAUCCGGAGGCGUUUUGUAAAGCUAUACACAAUUCUGUAUUCAUUGUUUGUGUGCUCAGGGAAAGCAGAAAAGGAAUGGAGUGCUCGACACAUUGAUCAGAAAAAAAGCAAGGCACCAGGUGUCUUCAUGUACAUUCUGAGAAUAGUGUGUAUGAAAAAAAAAACCAAAUAUUGCUUUGCGACAUUUCCUCAUGUACUGUAAUUGUUAACAAAGAAUUUGGUGAAAUAUAUAGAAGUAUUUUAAUACAAGAUUAUAAAAAUAGAACUGUCAGAAUACCUCUGAAAGAUGUACAUUUAAAAUCAUUUGAGUGGGUAAUUGCUGUGGGAGUUGGGGGAAGAGGGAUUGUUCUGUAUACAGCUGUCAAUAGACAUUGUACUAAGGCUGCUUUGUAUGUAGAUGUUUAUGUAAAUGCUCUUUAUGGGAAAAAAGGUUACAGUGAGACAGAAUUGUUACUUUAUGCUUGACAAAGAGAGUGCAGGAUUGAAGAGGCUUUGUUAUUCCUGGUUAUCUAGUAGGAAAAGCACUGAUACACCAUUUUGUCAAGCAUACAAAUGGAUGACAUCUGGGACUACAAUGCUCAUAUGUCAGAAUUCUACAUAUUUUGUAAAUUUUCUCAUGUUAAACAGGCAGACUGUUUCCACAAUUGAUUUCAUCAUUAAUUUAUUUCUGAUACAUUUUGUUUAUACAGUGUUAUUAAUGUUUACCAUACAAUUUUAUACAUGUAUAAACAUCAUUGUAAAUAUAUAUUGACAUAUUAGGAUAGAAGCAUUUCUGUUUGCCAAAGAGAUGUUAGAUCUAGCCUCUCUGUAUAUUUGGAUUAGGCUCCUUAGGCUUCAUUUCUAAAUUGUGGUCAGUGUAAUCUGUAGGAUGCAGUAUAAUGUACACUGUUUUUUGACAUAAAUCAUCAUUUAGGAAACGUCAUUGUUAACUCUAGAUCUGUCUUUGUUUAUGGUUUUCAGACAUGUUUAUAUACAGAUAUAACAGAGCUUGGCAUAACUUGGAGAAAUCUCUACAUGUGAUAAAAAUAGCAUUGAUUAGAAAAGUUUCCAUUUGCCAAUGAAAUUUGACUUGAUAGUGAAUUAUUUUAAUGUACCUAUUUCUAGUUAUAUAGGUGAUUUAUAAGUUUUAUGUGGGACGUUAGCAAUGGAAUAUAUCAAACCCAAGUUCAUUAAAUGUGGGCUGACAAAAGAAUGUUUUUGUAUUAUAUGUUAAAUAAUGGACUCAGUUAUGCUUUUAAAGCAAUAGGGACAACUAUAUUUGCAUGUUUCAUAGGUAUAUUUAUUGUAUAUAAAGCGAAAACUUUCCCUGACAGUUGUCAUUAUCUCUGAAUUAAUAAUUGGGCAGCUGAUGGGGGAUAAUUUUUAAAUAAUUCUAUAUGAAAUAGUUAAAAUGUUUUUGCUUUAAACGUUUAGUCCCUGAAAUAUAAGGAAUGUUUACAUAUUCAUGUGUGUACAUGUACACACAUGAGUACUUACAUGUACAUACAUGUAAAUGACUGUAUAGAACUGUUUAUUAAAAGUCAUAGGAAAAACUGAUUGGAAGAUACUGUGAGGCUGCUAGUUAUAUGGUGGACAAAUGUUUUUGUUUUAUAACAUCUGCAUAGGAUUUACUGAUAGGCAUAUAUUUUGUGAAUACCAAGCUGAUAGGCAAGUGUGAGAAUUCUACUUUUGCAAUUGAAUUGCUAUAGUAGGACUAUUUAGGAUGUAAAUAUUUGGUCAAGGGGGAUUGCCUUUGUGUUUUUGUGGGUUUUUUUCCAUUAGACAUUCUUGUUAGUUUGUAAAAUCUUUGCCAUUAAUAUUUUAAAUAAUUGUAAACAUGUAUACUUUUUUCCAAUUUAAUUUUUGAAUGUAAAAUGUUAGAACCGAGCAGGGAAGUACUUGACUGCUGUAUGUAUAAUAGACAACCUUCUUAAUAACAUCUUAACUUCCUAGGUAUGUAGACAUACCCUCUCUCCAUGCGCACAUGCGCGUGCACACACGCACACACACACAGUAAAUAUAUUAAUGUUGGAAUAUGGUAAGAUGUUUAUUACCAAUAGAAGUGUUAUUUCACCCCUUAGUGUUUGGUUUCACUUGGUGUGAAUGGAGGGGGUGGUUAAUCUCAUCGGUUCUUUUUUUUUUUUUACCAUAUGAUUUUGUAGAUGUGCAGACAUUUCUGUAAUUUUGAAAAUGGAUUUCAACUAAAAUUAUAGCAUAUACUUUUUUUUUUGGUUUCACGCCUGUUCAUUGCUGAUACUUUUAAAUAUCAAAUUAUUAAUGUAACUAGACUUUUUUUGUAUGUAUAGUGAUGUAUUUUAAGGGUUAUGGACAAGGGUAGUGGAUGUUUUCACAUCUCACUUAUACAGCUUUUUUGUUUUUUGUUUACUGAUUGUGGACACAUGUUGCAAUCAUGACAGUACAGAACUGCUUUCACAAAUUAUUUUAAGAACUAUAUAGGUGGCUCCAUGGGGUUUGUUAAACACCUGUGAUAAUUAAAUUUAUUGGGGUGACAAUAGAUUUGUGCAUAUGUUUCUAUGACACAGAAUCAGAACAUUGCAUUAUUUGCCCAUCCUACAUCACCAUAUAUUUGGCCCUCUUUACCCUUUACAACCCCUCACCCCCAUCCAAACAACAUGGAUUGACCUUGAGAACACAACUCAAAAAAGCUAAAAAGCACAUAAUUUCAUGUGCGAUAUAAAGCAUUGAAAGUAUAUUUACCUCAUUUUUUAUUUUGAAACAGUAUAUAGAAAAAUCAUCAAAUGGUCGUUUUAAAGAAAAAAAACCUCAUUUUUUAAGGGACAUGCAGUCAUCUUAUUUUUCAAAAUGUACAGGAUGGUUCUGUGUUAAUUUGUUACAUGACAUAAUCCUGUAAAUAUUUUGCUGUAAAUUUGUUAUUAAAAAUAAUAUGGCAAUACAAUUAAUCAUGGAUGAACAGGCUCUUAGAGCUGUGAAAAAUUUAUACAUUAAUUUGGUUGUAAGGAGAAAUGGACAAGAUAUUAUUUACCCCACUGUGGAGAAAUAGUCUACCAUCCUAACAAGUAUCAACUAUCAUUUAAAAAAUUUAAAUACAUGUGAAUUCAUUUGGUGUUUUUGGAUGCAUCAAGUUUCCUGAUAUGUUUCUAUUACUAUUUUUCAUUAAGAAUCUUUUAAAAACAGUUUUAAAUUCACUGCAAAAUUGAAGGAAAGAUAGAAAGAUUCCCCAUAUACCCCUUUCCCCACACACAGGCACAAUCCCCACUAUCCAACCCAACACAUGGAGAAUCAUGCCUGUUACUAACAUCCCCCACCAGAGCAGUUCAUGCUAACACCACAAUCACCCAAAAGUCCAGAGUUUACAUUGAGGUUAAGGCUUGGUGUCGUUCGUUGUACGGGUGUGAGGACAUGCUUAAUGACUUAACACCCCUUGUAUAUGCAGCAUUUUCAGUGCCCUAGAAAUCCUCUGUACUCUGCCUAUUCAUCCUUCUGUAUUUUCUUUUUUUUAAACAUUCAGGAUAUUAAUGACUUUGUUAAAUGGAUUUUAUACUACCUCUUGGAACUACACACAGUUCUGUAUGUGUUCCCUUGGUUGCAUGACAGUAUUCAAGACAACUUUGUAAAUAAUAGGCAGAUACACUUUUUAAUUUUUAACAUCUAGUCUUUUCAGAUGUACAGAGUCUCACAACGUAUAACUUUGUAAAUAAUUCAUAGUAAAAUUUCAUGGUUAUAUAUUUUUUGAAAUGUAUUUAAAAAGUGAAAUGGAUAGAGUGAGUUUCUUGAGCUGUACAUAUCUGAUCUUUGUAGUUGUUAGGUGAAGGUAAAACUAAGAGGGAGUAUAACUUUGGUUUUGAUUUUUCAACAUUUAAGCCAUUGUUUAGUGGUUGUGUUAUUGUGCCUUUAAAAUCUCAAGUUAUAAUUAUGUAGUUGUAUUGCUCAUAGGGCAUUAUGUAUGUUAAUCACAGGAAAUGUGUUUUUAUAACACAUUCUAUUCGCCUUUGAAUUAACAGUUUUGAAUUUCAUUGUACUGCAUGACCUCAAAAUACAGCUUUGUAAAUAGCAAGUGUGUGUAUAUAAUUUAAAACAUCUGGUUUUUCUAGAUGCACAGGGAGUUCCGCAAACAUUUUGUAAAUACUUCAUUGCAACCUAUUAUAAUGGCUUCUGUAAUGUUUUGGCAAUGGGCUUAUAUUAUGGUGUUCAGUGAGUUUUGGCGGAGGAUAGACAAAUUGAUUCCUUAACUUCCUUUGCUUAGGAUCUCAUGUCUAAGAAAAGAUAAGGUAACAGAAUACAUCUAGGGUUGUAUUUUUAUCUUUAGGAAGAAAAAGACAUGAGACAUGAACUGUAACUUUGUCUUUGUCAUACUCAGAUACAUUCAGUGACAUAAUCUGAGAUGGAAGAUACAUUGCUCAACUGUUUAUUCUAUGCUAGAUAAGUCUCUUUGCAAGUUCAUGUAUAUGCAUAGCCAUGUGUAUAUAAAGUUAGCUUGAGUAUAGAUCUGAAAAUGCUUUCCUUCUCAUUAGCUUAUUUCCAUUUUUUGUUUGAAAAUAGUAUUUCUAGCUUAAACAUUUGUAGAAGCUUGCUUCAUGAUACUCUAAAACUGUUACUCUUAUAUAAAAUUAAGCAGCUCCAUAUGCGUUAUUUUAAUCUCUGCAUCUGUAUGAGAAGAGAAUUUAUCCAGUUAUGAAUAUUUCUUCCAAUUCUCUGAGACCUUUCUAAAACUAUGGUUAAUUGUUAUAUUUGAAUGUUAUGUGAUAAAUGUGGAAUGUUUUGUAUCUCAGUUGCCUGUAAUGUACAUUGUGAAACUUUCUUGGAAAGGUGGUCCUAUCCAGUAUUGAUCCAAAAGUAUAAAUCAUAUCUUUUUAAACAGCAGUUUGGCAAUGACAAUCAAAAUUGAAUGUGAAACUUUGGAAUAAGUUACUGCUUGGAUUUUAACUCUUCCAAUUCUCUAAUUUACAAAGAAAGAAAGUACAUAAUAAAUUGAGUUUAACAAGGAACAACCGAAAUAUACGUCAGUAAAAGAAAGUUUGGAAUGAUUAUAGCUUAUGUAAGUUGAACAUAAAUGAAACACACUGUUAAAACAUUCUUACAUGGAAAGUGUGUCCAUAUGCCUCUAGAUCUUCACCUGCACUGCUAAUGACCAUGGGCCCUCCUCAGUGCCACUCUGAUUGUUUUGGCAUUUAUUUUGAAAUUUUUCUACAUGUGCGAGUCAAAUAGCAAGGCAUUGUUUAUUGGUAUAUUUGUAUUGCUACGUGACAAUCUAAAAUGACAUUUAUGGAAGAGAAAGUUACCUGGAAGACUGUAUGGAGAGAUGGAAUAGAAAGACUGCUAUUACUUUCUGAAUAGAACUUUUAAUGGUAUUUUUAAAGGAACAUUUGAAUAGCAAGGAAUUUAAAGGCACAAACAACUUGUGCUUGACGUUAAUCUUGCCUGUCACUAUCAGGCAUAUAGGGCGGUUGUAUCUGGCCUCAUGUUGCCAUUGGCCGCUGUGAAUGGUUUUUGAGAAAUCAAGAAGAGGAUAUGACUUGGAGAAAAAUGCAGCACUGAGCUGUACAGUGUAAUAAGGAGAAUCAGUACUCGAGGAAAGAAGUGAGAAGAUGAGAAAGAAGAGAUGAAGGUGAUGGAAUAACAAUGUGUUUGCAGAGUGAGGAGAGAUGACAUUCAGUUCAUUGGUCUUUUUGUGGAGUCCUUCCUCAGGCGGACCUGAAACCCAGGAGAUGAUGAAUAGGAUCAUGCCAUUGCUUCUGCCACCAUCUUAAAAACCUAAAGACAGUCUACUUCAUGUGGGGAGACUCCUUCCGUGCUUGCCAUGGGCACUCCCUGCAGAUAAGAAACACAGGACUGAGAAAGCUCAUGUUUGAAGGUGACCUACAGGGAGACAUGGAGAGAAUUGUAUGCAGGCAUGAAUUCCAGGCAAUGGAGUGAUGGAGACAUAAAUACCGAGAAGCCUAGGAGAGCCAUUGCAAGGCCGCCUUCCAGGGCUCCCCUGAGUAGUACUAAGUGCUUAUAUUUCUACUUUUACUUAUAGGAAAAUAAUUAAAUAUGUUCAUUAAAAAUCAUAUUCUUGAAAUUUUAGAGGACGUAGGAAUUUGUUACAUAUAGUUAUUACUUUAUGUGACUUUGUUUUCCUUUAAUGUGACCCCUCCCCAUUGUUAUAUACUGUCUCUCUUUUUCCAUUACAGUUUACAUUCAGCAUUAUUUUGUAUUAGUUUCAGGUAUACUACAUAGUGGUUAGACAAUCCUCUACUUUACAAAGU